AUGGAGCUCAGUGACAUUGGCCAAGGAUUAACACAAGGUGUUAGAAGCUCAACUCGAGCUGUCCGUUUAGCAGAGGAAAGAUUACGACAGUUUUCAAGCAUGCCUCAAUCAGCAACCGCGCAGGGUCUUCUAGUCCCAAUGGAGACCAGGACAGCCGGACCAGCUUUAGCAAAAAAGGUGAGGGACCUAAGGGAGGGGAUAGUUAAAGGCCGUCAAGUUUUACAAAUGCUUUUCACCCUCACCCGGUAUUCCAGAACAGUCUUCAGUUUCUUCAAAUCCAGGGAAAAGACAUAGAUCCAAGAAAAUCAAAUCUGUCUCUUAAGUUGCACAAGUCCAUGUGCUAGGCUGUCUGUUACUUUGUUCAUAUACAUCAGACUUUUGCAUGGAUUUGGUAGUCUGAACUCUGAUCCAUGAUGUAGUUCAG
rnacentral:misc_RNA from 1 species